rnacentral:rRNA from 1 species
GGAGGGUGCGGGCGUUGUCCGGAAUCAUUGGGCGUAAAGGGCGCGUAGGUGGCCUGGCAAGCGUGCGGUGAAAGCUCGGGGCUCAACCCCGAGUCGGCCGUGCGAACUGCUGGGCUCGAGCACUGUAGAGGCAGGCGGAAUUCCGGGUGUAGCGGUGGAAUGCGUAGAGAUCCGGAAGAACACCGGUGGCGAAGGCGGCCUGCUGGGCAGUGGCUGACACUGAGGCGCGACAGCGUGGGGAGCAAACAGGAUUAGAUACCCUGGUAGUCCACGCCGUAAACGAUGGGCACUAGGCGCUUGGGGGAGCGACCCUCCGAGGGCCGGCGCUAACGCAUUAAGUGCCCCGCCUGGGGAGUACGGCCGCAAGGCUG